rnacentral:rRNA from 1 species
CCUACGGGAGGCAGCAGUGAGGAAUAUUGGUCAAUGGCCGGAAGGCUGAACCAGCCAAGCCACGUGAAGGACGAAGGUGCCAAGCAUUGUAAACUUCUUUUGUCAAGGGACAAAAUCAGGCUCGAGAGCCUGACCGAGGGUACUUGAAGAAAAAGCAUCGGCUAACUCCGUGCCAGCAGCCGCGGUAAUCCGGAGGAUGCGAGCGUUAUCCGGAUUUAUGGGGUUUAAAGGGUGCGUAGGCGGGCUGUUAAGUCAGCGGUAAAAGCCCGGGGCUCAACCCCGGCGAGCCGUUGAAACUGGCUGUCUUGAGAUGGAGAGAAGUAUGCGGAAUGCGCGGUGUAGCGGUGAACUGCAUAGAUAUCGCGCAGAACUCCGAUUGCGGAGGCAGCAUGCCGGCUCCACACUGACGCUGAGGCACGAAAGCGUGGGUAUCGAACAGGAUUAGAUACCCCGGUAGUC